UAGGGGCUCUUUUAAAUGCGCUUGGAGCGUUAGCUUUGGGGGCACCCGUCGGAUUGCAGUACUUUGAAAUGACCAUUAGCUGGUCUCUUCUGAUGUCUUCAUUGACUUUUGUGCCUACAGCUUGUGUUUAUGGUUCAUGUUGGACAGAUUGGCAUCGCAUAUUUGCAUGUACAAAGUAAGUGUUUCAUGU